AUCCAACUGACGAGUCACAAAUAGGAUGAAAUCUGUGUCCUGGAU
rnacentral:hammerhead_ribozyme from 1 species